rnacentral:rRNA from 1 species
UGUGCUUAACACAUGCAAGUGGUGCGACGAACCAGAGCUUGCUCUGGGGCAAAGCCGCGAACGGGUGAGUAACACGUGGGUAAUCUACCCCGAUGACCGGGACAACCCGAGGAAACUCGGGCUAAUACCGGAUGUGGUACGGAGACAUAAGUCUCUUUACUAAAGGUAGCUUCGGCUUCCGCAUUGGGAGGGGCCCGCGGCCCAUUAGCUAGUUGGUGGGGUCAAGGCCUACCAAGGCAACGAUGGGUAGCUGGUCUGAGAGGACGAUCAGCCACACUGGGACUGAGACACGGCCCAGACUCCUACGGGAGGCAGCAGUGGGGAAUCUUGCGCAAUGCGCGAAAGCGUGACGCAGCAACACCGCGUGAGGGAAGACGGCCUUAGGGUUGUAAACCUCUUUCAGAUGGGACGAAGGUGAUGCGGUGAAUAGCCGAUGUCAUUGACGGUACCGUCAGAAGAAGCUCCGGCUAACUACGUG